rnacentral:tRNA from 2 species
GGCCGCGUAGCCCAAUCCGGAAGAGGUGCCGGUUUCAAAAGCCGGAGGUUCCCGGUUCGACUCCGGGCGCGGCUA